rnacentral:rRNA from 1 species
AGUGAACGCUGGCGGUAGGCCUAACACAUGCAAGUCGAACGGCAGCACAGUAAGAGCUUGCUCUUACGGGUGGCGAGUGGCGGACGGGUGAGGAAUACAUCGGAAUCUACUUUUUCGUGGGGGAUAACGUAGGGAAACUUACGCUAAUACCACAUACGACCUACGGGUGAAAGCAGGGGAUCUUCGGACCUUGCGCGAUUGAAUGAGCCGAUGUCGGAUUAGCUAGUUGGCGGGGUAAAGGCCCACCAAGGCGACGAUCCGUAGCUGGUCUGAGAGGAUGAUCAGCCACACUGGAACUGAGACACGGCCCAGACUCCUACGGGAGGCAGCAGUGGGGAAUAUUGGACAAUGGGCGCAAGCCUGAUCCAGCCAUACCGCGUGGGUGAAGAAGGCCUUCGGGUUGUAAAGCCCUUUUGUUGGGAAAGAAAAGCAGCAGGUUAAUACCCCGCUGUUCUGACGGUACCCAAAGAAUAAGCACCGGCUAACUUCGUG